CUGUCUCUGGUGGGAACAGGGAAACACAGCUAGUUGAGGUCAGUCUGUCUCUGGUGGGAACAGGGAAACACAGCUAGUUGAGGUCAGUCUGUCUCUGCUGGGAACAGGGAAACACAGCUAGUUGAGGUCAGUCUGUCUCUGGUGGGAACAGUGAAACAGCUAGUUGAGGACAGUCAGUCUGUCUCUGGUGGGAACAGGGAAACACAGCUAGUUGAGGUCAGUCUGUCUCUGCUGGGAACAGGGAAACACAGCUAGUUGAGGUCAGUCAGUCUGUCUCUGGUGGGAACAGGGAAACAUAGCUAGUUGAGGUCAGUCAGUCUGUCUCUGGUGGGAACAGGGAAACAUAGCUAGUUGAGGUCAGUCAGUCUGUCUCUGCUGGGAACAGGGAAACACAGCUAGUUGAGGUUGGUCUGUCUCUGGUGGGAACAGGGAAACAGCUAGUUGAGGUCAGUCAGUCUGUGUCUCUGGUGGGAACAGGGAAACAGCUAGUUGAGGACAGUCAGUCUGUCUCUGGUGGGAACAGG
ensembl:lncRNA